AUGGACACCUCAGGAGGAACCAGAGAGGGAACCAUAAAUGCUCUCAAUGCAGCAAAAGUUUCAGCAAUGAAAGCUGCUGAAAUAGACACCGAGGAGGGUCCGGCGGUAGUCAAGAAACAGGAGGAGCUCGACGCCGACCUGGAGAAACUCUAUGUAGCAGACAGAGACUCUCGGCCUACAAGGAACUCACUCUGUUUGCGAGUGUCGCGUCGCUGGCGAUAUCAAGUGCCUGGGAUGUACACGCUUCACUGGCUUGUUUGUCCCUGCAUGUGGGAAUUGGACUCUCAGUUUUGCAUCUUGGCCUUGAUGAAAACUGAUGAUAAACGACCUCAUGUGCUAGCAACAGAAGGUACCUGGGCAUUCUCAGAAAUCAGCAUCCGCUGUAGCACCGCGGUAUGA
rnacentral:rRNA from 1 species